rnacentral:rRNA from 1 species
GACGAACGCUGGCGGCGUGCUUAACACAUGCAAGUCGAACGGAAAGGCCCUGCUUUUGUGGGGUGCUCGAGUGGCGAACGGGUGAGUAACACGUGAGUAACCUGCCCUUGACUUUGGGAUAACUUCAGGAAACUGGGGCUAAUACCGGAUAGGAGCUCCUGCUGCAUGGUGGGGGUUGGAAAGUUUCGGCGGUUGGGGAUGGACUCGCGGCUUAUCAGCUUGUUGGUGGGGUAGUGGCUUACCAAGGCUUUGACGGGUAGCCGGCCUGAGAGGGUGACCGGCCACAUUGGGACUGAGAUACGGCCGAGACUCCUGCGGGAGGCAGCAGUGGGGAAUAUUGCACAAUGGGCGGAAGCCUGAUGCAGCAACGCCGCGUGCGGGAUGACGGCCUUCGUGUUGUAAACCGCUUUCGCCUGUGACGAAGCGUGAGUGACGGUAAUGGGUAAAGAAGCACCGGGUAACUACGUG